ensembl:lncRNA
AUGGCAAAGGAGCAGGACCAGAAGGCCCACUCCCAGGCCGAGAAAGGACUGCCGAGCGUGCGGGAACAGCGCCAGGUGGGCCGCAGGCCGCAGCAAGCUGUGCUGCCAGGCAGCCAGAGCCAGGAUUCGGUUGUCCGUGGGAUCCAACUGCCACCAGUGCCCCACCCGGAGAGAUCACAAGCCUCUGGGAGCCGCCGUGCACAGGCGGACAGACCAGAGCUCAACCAGGGACUACCCAAUGGCAAUGGCUCUGGAGAAGGGAGACAGCCUCUGCCAGCCUUGCCACCUCUCCCACGGCGGGCACUGUCACUGCCAGCUGCACCCCAGAAUGCAGCCACUGCUCGGGGACGAGUUCAAACAUUGUCCACAUUGCCACCAAUAGCCUCCAGAAGUUUUCCAAGAGGCAGAGCUGCCAGUGCUGUGGGAGCUACCACCAGCAGAGUGGCUGUCCCAGGUCUUCAGGACAACCCUCAGCACCAGAGUACAGCAGCGAGGGCCAAGGGCUGGCAGGCAGAUCUAUCUGUCCCUGCACUCCCCCUCAGGCCUGCAGAGAAGACGCCCAAGUCCCUCAGGCUGGCAUAUCGAAUUCGUCCAGCAGCCAGAAGAUCAGGACCCUGGCUGAAACCAGCACAACAUAGACAACGUGCACCCACCAGCACUGUAAGAACACCGGCACGAAGAACCCAGGUGCUGGCCCCCAAGGCUAGGAAAGUCCCCGAGAAUGAGACACGACCUGAUGCCAGUGCUCAGGAGGACAGCGGAGAUGCUGACAGGGUCUCUACAUCACGCUCCCUGGAAGCAGAGCAGUCAGCAGAGAAGGAAGCAGAGCAGGCAGCACAGAAGGAAGCAGAGCAGGCAGCAGAGAAGGCAGCAGAGAAGGCAGCAGAGCAGGCAGCAGUGAAGGAAGCAGUGAAGGAAGCAGAGCAGGCAGCAGAGCAGGCAGCGGAUGAUGGUGCCAAAGGUGCUGGCACUUCUCAUGCCAUGCUGGAUGCCGAAGACAGCAAAGAGAGGGCCCGCUCAGCCAAGAGAAGGGACAGGUUCCUGCCCUGCUGUCUUUGCUGUUCCAUCUGCAGUUCUGUUGGGAAAGAUGAGAAAGAGGAAGGGAAAGACACCGCUGGGAGAGACACUGUGGCAGUGGCAGGCAAGGAGCCUGUGAGCACAUCAUUUCCUGGGGUAGAGGCCCUGCCUCCAGCGUCUUCAGUGCCUGGAAACCUUCAGCAUGAUGUGAGCAAGAUGCAAGUGGUGGACAGCCUGGAGAUCGGGGACACAGUCAGCCACAGCAGCAUCUCAGGGGAGGGGAGACAGCCUGUGCCAACUUGUGGACCAUCCCUGUGUGUCCUUGCAUGCCCACUCAAGCCUGCACAUGCCACACGCAAAUUCUACAACUUGACAUACAGAAGGCGUCCUGUAGCCACCAGACCUAGAUCCUACCAGAAACCAGCAGGUCCAAGGCAGUGUGCACCCACCAGCACUGAGGAAACACCAGCACAAGCAACACAGGUGCUGGCCCCCCAGGUUUGGAGCAGCCUCACACAUCAGACACCACCUGCUCCCAGUGCUCAGGAGGGCAGCAAAGAUGCUGUCAAGGCCCCUGAAUCACAUUCCCAGGAGGCAGAGCAGGCAGAAGAGCUGCUGGCACUCCUCAGGACAUGCUGGAUGACAAGGAUGAUGAAGAAAGGGCAUGGUCCAACAAAAGAGGGGGCAAGUUCCUGCCCUGCUGUCUUUGCUGCUCCACCUGCAGCGGUUUUCUGAUGGAUGAGGAGGAAGAGGAGGAAGACAGCCCUGUGGCAGAGGCUGCAGGAGGCCUGUUGAGCACAACAUCCAGGGAGGCACAGACCUGGUCUCCAGCUUCUCCUGUGUCUGCAGGUGCCAGGCGUGAGGGGCACUUCAUUCCUAGCUCUGCCUUGUCACCAGAGGAUACUCUGUCUUUGGAAACUGAAGGCUUUUUUCUGCGGGACUGGUGGGGACAUGACCCUGAGCAAAGGAAGAAGCAGAAGUAGCCAACAUUGCAGUGACUGUGCCUGGAGCCCCUUCUUCAUCACUGCAUCAUUUACGUUUAGCGAGAUAAGAAGAGAGAGAUCUGUGCUUGAGGGGAAGCUUUGCUUUCCUGUUUGUGUACAAAUUGCUUCUCACCUAGCAUUUAGAAGACCAUUCAGUACAGGGAUUCCUAAUUUGGCUAAAUCUGGCUUUUUAAUCUGGAACUGAAAAAGCAGUACGUAUUCUCUACAGCAGAGAUAAUAUACUUUGCUUUCUCUGUUUUGAUUUCGGUUUCCAAAAGUACAAUAAAAGUAUUUAGUUUCAUUUUACUUUUUCUGUC